UACGGAAGGCAGCAGUGGGGAAUAUUGCACAAUGGGCGAAAGCCUGAUGCAGCUAUGCCGCGUGUAUGAAGAAGGCCUUAGGGUUGUAAAGUACUUUCAUCGGGGAGGAAAAAACAAAACUAAUAAUUUUAUUUCUUGACGUUACCCGAAAAAGAAGCACCGGCUAACUCCGUGCCAGCAGCCGCGGUAAUACGGAGGGUGCUAGCGUUAAUCAGAAUUACUGGGCGUAAAGAGCACGUAGGUGGUUUUUUAAAGUCAGAUGUGAAAUCCCUGGGCUUUAACCUAGGAACUGCAUUUUGAAACUGAAAUACUAGAGUAUCGUAGAGGGAGGUAGAAUUCUAGGUGUAGCGGUGAAAUGCGUAGAUAUCUGGAGGAAUACCUGUGGCGAAAGCGGCCUCCUAAACGAAUACUGACACUGAGGGUGCGAAAGCGUGGGGAGCAAACGAGGAUUAGAUACC
rnacentral:rRNA from 1 species